UUCUGUUUCAGUUCUUUGACCAUUUGCUGGCUGGCAUAGAAGAUAUAUCAGGACACUGGGGACAAUAUUACUGGAAAGACAAAUUAGAAUAUUUCAAUAGUAGAUACCUUCAGAAGAUUUUGCUCAGAGAAUAUGACCAGCCCAAAUCAAGCAUUGUCCUUCUUUAUGAAAAACUUGAGAGAAAACACGCCAUUGAACUAGCAGAAGCAGGCCAGUUAAUACAUACGCCAUCUAGUACAUCUUUGCUCCGCAGCCGUGAGACAGCCAUGUCAAUUCAAUCUCCAGAACCUACAAAUCAGGACCUCCUGGAUAAUAUUCAAGA